GACGAACGCUGGCGGCGUGCUUAACACAUGCAAGUCGAACGGUGAACCGGGCUUCGGCCCGGGGAUCAGUGGCGAACGGGUGCGUAACACGUGGGCAACCUGCCCCAGACACUGGGAUAACCCCGGGAAACCGGGGCUAAUACCGGAUACUCCGCUCGGACCGCAUGGUCCGAUCGGGAAAGCUCCGACGGUCUGGGAUGGGCCCGCGGCCUAUCAGCUCGUUGGUGGGGUAACGGCCUACCAAGGCGACGACGGGUAGCUGGUCUGAGAGGACAACCAGCCACACUGGAACUGAGAUACGGUCCAGACUCCUACGGGAGGCAGCAGUGGGGAAUCUUGCACAAUGGGCGAAAGCCUGAUGCAGCGACGCCGCGUGGGGGACGAAGGCCCUCGGGUUGUAAACCCCUUUCGGCAGGGGAGAAGCGCAAGUGACGGUACCUGCAGAAGAAGCUCCGGCUAACUACGUGCCAGCCGCCGCCGUAACAC
rnacentral:rRNA from 1 species